CAUUACAGAGUUCCUGCCCUCACGGGUAGAAACCCCACCCUUGUGUAUAUUAUAUUGUUGCUUUAGCAGGUCGCCCUUUGGGGCGUCGGCCUCGGCUGACUGUGCCUGCUAGAGGACCCUAAACUUUGAAAUACAGUGUCGUCUGAGUACUAUUUAAUAGUUAAAACUUUCAACAACGGAUCUCUUGGUUCUGGCAUCGAUGAAGAACGCAGCGAAAUGCGAUAAGUAAUGUGAAUUGCAGAAUUCAGUGAAUCAUCGAAUCUUUGAACGCACAUUGCGCCCCUUGGUAUUCCGGGGGGCAUGCCUGUUCGAGCGUCAUUUAGACCAACUCCCGCUCCGGCGGGGUCUUGGGCUGCGCCUUUGGGCGGGCCUUAAAACCAGUGGCGGUGCCCUAAGGCUCUACGCGUAGUAAUUCUUCUCGCGAUAGGGUCCUUGCGGUGUCUUGCCAGCAACCCCCAACUCUCUAGGGUUGACCUCGGAU
rnacentral:rRNA from 1 species